CCUACGGGAGGCAGCAGUGGGGAAUAUUGCACAAUGGGGGCAACCCUGAUGCAGCGACGCCGCGUGAGUGAAGAAGUAAUUCGUUAUGUAAAGCUCUAUCAGCAGGGAAGAAAAUGACGGUACCUGAGUAAGAAGCCCCGGCUAACUACGUGCCAGCAGCCGCGGGAAUACGUAGGGGGCAAGCGUUAUCCGGAUUUACUGGGUGUAAAGGGAGCGUAGACGGCAGUGCAAGCCUGGAGUGAAAGGCGGGGGCUCAACCCCCGGACUGCUUUGGAAACUGUCGGGCUGGAGUGCAGGAGAGGUAAGUGGAAUUCCUAGUGUAGCGGUGAAAUGCGUAGAUAUUAGGAGGAACACCAGUGGCGAAGGCGGCUUACUGGACUGUAACUGACGUUGAGGCUCGAAAGCGUGGGGAGCAAACAGGAUUAGAUACCCUUGUAGUC
rnacentral:rRNA from 1 species